GAUGAACGCUGGCGGCGUGCCUAAUACAUGCAAGUCGAGCGAACGGACGAGAAGCUUGCUUCUCUGAUGUUAGCGGCGGACGGGUGAGUAACACGUGGAUAACCUACCUAUAAGACUGGGAUAACUUCGGGAAACCGGAGCUAAUACCGGAUGACAUUUUGAACCGCAUGGUUCAAAAGUGAAAGACGGUCUUGCUGCCACUUAUAGAUGGAUCCGCGCUGCAUUAGCUAGUUGGUAAGGUAACGGCUUACCAAGGCAACGAUGCAUAGCCGACCUGAGAGGGUGAUCGGCCACACUGGAACUGAGACACGGUCCAGACUCCUACGGGAGGCAGCAGUAGGGAAUCUUCCGCAAUGGGCGAAAGCCUGACGGAGCAACGCCGCGUGAGUGAUGAAGGUCUUCGGAUCGUAAAACUCUGUUAUUAGGGAAGAACAUAUGUGUAAGUAACUGUGCACAUCUUGACGGUACCUAAUCAGAAAGCCACGGCUAACUACGUG
rnacentral:rRNA from 1 species